rnacentral:rRNA from 1 species
CCUACGGGGCGCAGCAGUGAGGGAUAUUGGUCAAUGGUCGGGAGACUGAACCAGCCAAGCCGCGUGAGGUAUGAAGGUACAGAGUAUCGUAAACCUCUUUUGUCAGGGAACAAAGGCGGGGACGUGUCCCCGGAUGAGUGUACCUUAAGAAAAAACAUCGGCUAACUCCGUGCCAGCAGCCGCGGUAAUACGGAGGAUGCGAGCGUUAUCCGGCUUUAUUUGGUUUAAAUGGUGCGCAGGCGGUCUGGUCAGUCAGCGGUCAAAGCCCGG